UCGAGAAUUUUUCUCAAUGGGGGCAACCCUGAAGGAGCGACGCCGCGUGGAGGAUGAAGGCCUUCGGGUCGUAAACUCCUGUCAUUUGGGAACAAAACUUCCGCUUAACUGGCGGGAGCUUGAUAGUACUAGAAGAGGAAGAGACGGCUAACUCUGUGCCAGCAGCCGCGGUAAUACAGAGGUCUCAACCGUUGUUCGGAUUCAUUGGGCGUAAAGGGUGCGUAGGCGGUCGCGUAAGUCGGAUGUGAAAUCCCGGGGCUCAACCCCGGAACUGCAUUCGAUACUGCGUGGCUAGGGUACUGGAGAGGAGACUGGAAUUUACGGUGUAGCAGUGAAAUGCGUAGAUAUCGUAAGGAAGACCAGUGGCGAAGGCGAGUCUCUGGACAGUUACCGACGCUGAGGCACGAAGGCCAGGGGAGCAAACGG
rnacentral:rRNA from 1 species